rnacentral:rRNA from 1 species
CUACGUGCCAGCAGCCGCGGUAAUACGUAUGUCACAAGCGUUAUCCGGAUUUAUUGGGCGUAAAGCGCGUCUAGGUGGUUAUGUAAGUCUGAUGUGAAAAUGCAGGGCUCAACUCUGUAUUGCGUUGGAAACUGCAUGACUAGAGUAUUGGAGAGGUAAGCGGAACUACAAGUGUAGAGGUGAAAUUCGUAGAUAUUUGUAGGAAUGCCGAUGGGGAAGCCAGCUUACUGGACAGAUACUGACGCUAAAGCGCGAAAGCGUGGGUAGCAAACAGGAUUAGAUACCCUGGUAGUCCACGCCGUAAACGAUGAUUACUAGGUGUUGGGGGUCGAACCUCAGCGCCCAAGCUAACGCGAUAAGUAAUCCGCCUGGGGAGUACGUACGCAAGUAUGAAACUCAAAGGAAUUGACGGGGACCCGCACAAGCGGUGGAGCAUGUGGUUUAAUUCGACGCAACGCGAGGAACCUUACCAGCGUUUGACAUC